rnacentral:lncRNA from 1 species
AUGUGAACCCACUAGGGUUUUCGCCUGAUCUUUCGAUGAGAGGCGCUGGAUAACUCGAUUAGUAAAUGGAGAUGACGUUCACGGCCCGACUACAGCCUUCUAAGGCCGCGCCUUAGCAACCGAUACACCGCCUCCAAUGGCUGUCACGAUCUUGUGGAGCGCAACACCCGGCCACUAGGGCACUCGUCCUGCAAGCAAUCGAAGAACCAGCAAGAACAAGUAGAACAAGUACUAAAUUACUAGAUGUAAAUGAAGGUUUCAAACUCAAUCUCUAAUGAAGUGGGGUUUCGAAAACAAGAAGACGGGCGGCUGGAUCAGCACGCGCGUUUACAAGCAAGUAGCGAAGGCUAAACUUUAUCUAAUCAAAACCCAGUUGUUCAUGGCGGCUCUAGAUGUAAAUAAAUAGAGGGGAGGACGACCAAAGGGGUACUAGAGUCGUCCUCCAACCCUAGGACGCGUCCCUAAUGGACUCAACUUGAUACAUGGGCCAUUGGUCCAAAAUAGGGUGACGCAGCACCAAAACAGAAAAAGGUGUGGCACAAAAACAAGGACUCCGCCCGACUCAUAAGCUGCAUAGAUAUGUGGUUGGACCCAUUGGAAAGUAGAUUUCAUGAGCUUUCCAACAAGUAUGGGAACGUCCCAGUUGGAGUCCAUAUGACGCCGUGGUGAUCCAUACAAGUUAGAGUUAUUUUCCAGUCCGAAUCCAACUCCCAAAACGUGUUGGGUUUGGACUCUUUGUUUCCUUGCGUUAGAAGCGACGUGGUAACUUGAUAGAGGAUGUUGUGGAGGCUUGGACCUGAUCUCCAAUCACCUUUGUUAAGUUAUCACUCUUCCCAUAUGCAAUCAGCCCUUGAAGUUGGUGUUGCCUCAAAUUCCGAAUGCAGUUGAACCUUCCCUUGCUGAUCUUGUCCAUUAUUCCUGAGCAACACGAAAGUGCACGUGUCUCCAUUGUCUAAAUAUGAUUGACAAGAGUUUAAAACUGAACUUACUUGAAGGUUGAGUUGACGGGCACGAGCAUGAGUAAGAGGACCAACUGGUGUAGGUGCGGAUAUAUUGAUGGUGUUGAUGUCCUCAUCAUCCUCCCUUUCUUGGAUUUGAGUCGUCCUCGACUCAAGCUCAUGUUCCUCACCCAAAUAUGGUUUCAAAUCAGCAAGUAUGUCCUCCGUCUUCUUUGCUCCAAAAUGUCCCAUCAAACCUCCUCCAUGAGCUUCCUGUAACAACAACAAACGAACAGAGCUAGCUGGAAUGCAUAGCUUGUUAGCUCUAAACACAAACCCAUCACUAACGAUGAAUUUGUUCCAUCCUUUUCCAUCUAUACAACGCAGCAACACUUCAUUAAAAUCAGCAUCAUGAACAUAUUGGUCUUUGAUCGUUUCUAAUCCAAAAAUCUUGUACUUUGCUCCACACAAAAGGCACUCCCUUCUUUGUAAGCUCAUUCAAUGGUGCAGCAAUGGUGCUGAAAUCCUUCACAAAACGGCGAUAAAACCCAGCAAGUCCUAAGAAACUCCGCACCUGGGUGAUUGUCUUUGGUACAGGCCAUCCCUGUAUAGCUUCUACCUUGGCUUGAUCAACCUCAAUUCCAUAACCUUUGUCGAGGAGUUCUUGCACUUGCCGCUGGAUCUCUUUUGUUUCCUCUGGAUUUGUCCUGUAUGGCGCGCGGUUUGGCAAAGAUGCACCAGGAAUAAGAUCAAUUUGGUGCUCAAUCCCACGUAUAGGUGGCAGCCCUGCCGGUAUCUCACUUGGAAAAACAUCAGCAUACUCCUGCAAAAUGUUAUGAACAGCAGGGGGCAAAGAAUGCAGCAUAUCUUCAAUUGAAAUCAAAACACCCUUACAUACCAAAGCAUAAGCAAUAGAUGUGGAAGCAAUUAGUUCAUUAACUUCAAAUUUAGUAGCAAGCAUGCAAUGUCCAUUUAAUCUUAUCUCAUCUUUGUUAUUUCCAUUGGUAUCUGCAUUGUUCUUAAUUUUAGGCUUGGUAAUUUUAGCAACUUCAUCACGUACGAUAGCUUCGGGAGACAUAGGUAGCAAAACAAUUUUCAUAUCAUGGUGCAUAAACGAAUACUGAUUUGAUCUACCAUGAUGUAUACAUUCCUUAUCAAAUUGCCAUGGUCUACCUAGCAGAAUAUUACAAGCUUCCAUAGGUACAACAUCACAUUCAACAACAUCAUGGUAUGAACCAAUAGUAAAAUUAAUUCGCACUAGUUUUGUUACCUUGGCCUUACCACUGUUGUUCAGCCACCGAAUGUGAUAUGGAUGUGGAUGUGGUUUGGUGGUAAGUGCAAGCUUCUCCAUCAUGUUGCUGCUAGCCAAGUUGUUGCAGCUACCUCCAUCAAUAAUCAAACGACAAGAACGCUCUUUAAUAACAUACUUUGUUUGGAACAAUGUAUGCCGCUGAUUCUGCUCUACCUUCUCCGCUUGAGCACUAAGCACACACUGCACAAUAAGACUCUCAUAAUGCUCUACAUUCUCUGCACCUAUCUGCUCUUCUAUUGCUUCAUCCCUACCUGUAUCAUCAGCAGCAAGCAAAGCACGUGUAUCGUCAUCAAAAUCACUAGCAGAGGAAUACCCACCAUCAGCGUUAACAACCAAAACACGCUUGUUUGGACAAUCUCGCUGUACGUGCCCAUAACCCUUGCAUCGAUGACACUGAACAUCUCUUGUUCUUCCCGUGGAAUUAAUCGAGGUGGCACUAGCGAUUGGUCUCUGGGCUGAUUUAGUUGCUGUAUUUGUGGAAGAAUCAUGUGGUUUGUCGCUGUAGGAAGGUGGUGGAGCUAUUGAUCGGCUUGAUGGAAGAGGUACACCACCCGACAAUGUAGCAGAUGUGCGUUGUUGCCAGGAUUUCCCUGCAGAAUUGUUAGAUUUGGCACUAGAACGUCGUCCCUGCACUUCCCUUUCAGCUUUAGAAGCAAGAUGAAACAAACGGGUUACGUUAGUAUAAUCUUUAUAAGCAAGAAUGUCCUGGAUUUCACGAUUUAACCCGCCCAAAAAUAUAGCCAUAGCAGGUUCUUCUUCCUCCUCUAAAUUACAUCGCAGCAUACCCAUUUGUAAUUCCUGAUAAUAUUCUUCUACACUUUUAGCACCUUGUCUCAAUUGCUGCAACUUAUUAAUCAUGUCACGUGCAUAGUAAGAAGGAACAAAUCUAGCCCUCAUGACUUGUUUCAACGCAUUCCAAGUUCUAGGUAUGUUAUUAGGAUUUUUCUUGCCAUGUUCUAUCCACCAAACGGAAGCAAAAUCGGUGAACUCACUAGUAGCAGCCCUAACACGUGUAUCCUCAGGGAAUUCAUGACAUGUAAACUUUUGGUCAACAACAAUCUCCCAAGUAAUGUAUGCAUCAGGGUCAUAUUUACCAUCAAAAGGAGGUAUUUUAAAUUUAAUCUUACUGAAAGCAUCAUUAUUAUUGUGUACCUCGCGUCGGUGGUGGGCACCCAUACCUCUAUGGGUGUGACGUAGGCGACGUCGAUGAUGAGUGUCUUGAUCAUCUCGUUCCGUAUCAGCAGUGUAAUCAUCAUCAUAAUUGCCAUCCACUCGGUCUUCCUCCUUGUUUUCUUCCUUAUGCUUCUCUUUGUCCAUUGUGUGGAAGUCAUCAAAGCGUUUGAGAAGAGCAGCAAGACUUUUAUCCAUACUAGUAAUAGAUGCCUCCAUCUUUGUAAUCUUGUUGUUUGUGGCAAUCUGCGUGUCCUCCAACUGCCCAAGCUUGUCAUUCGUCACCUUCAAGUCGUCAUCAAGUCCCUCUGUGUGUAGCUUCACUUGCCUUUCAAAAUGUUGUAUGAUGCCCUUAGUGCGAGGUGACUGUGGAAUUUUGUUGGUAUCCUCUGUCUCUGACAUGGUUUAAAAAAACACACAGUGGAAACAAGAAAAAUAGGUGAAGAAAUAAAAACCCUACAGCUAUUAGGAUGUGGCUACUGUAAGACGCUCUCUAUCAACCUGUCUAACAAGUUCUUACCAAUUCUUACCUUGCUCAACAGGAGGGAUUGGCUACCAACAAAUCCACAGCAAUGGACGAAGUGUAUCGGUGCCGCAGCAACAAAACCUAUCAAGCUGUAGAAUAUGUGGAGCUAUAGGUGGGCUGAAACAAGGAUCGAACUAGCACCACGUUAGUUAUAAAAAGCAAGUUGAAUAAACGCUCAGCGGUGGUACUGUGCUAGUCCUAGCCUAGACCGUGCUAGAGACGCGAGCCUAGACACAAAGGGAAAACACAGCACACCACUAGAAACAAAAUGAGCAGCCCUACUGGAAACAAAAGGAACAACAAUCCCCUUUUUUGAUUUUUUUCUCUUUUUUUCUUUCUUUCUUUCUUUUUUUUCUUUAUUUUUUUUUCUUUCUCUUUUCUUUUUUUGGGGAACCUCAAAACCUGAUUAUAUAAACAAAAUAGUACAAAAUAUCACUUCACCACUCUCACCCUCUCACUAAAGUAAGGCUGAACCUCAAAAUUCAAUAUAUCUAGCACAAGUAUGAAGUGCUAUCUUUCCCUUUGGAUCACGUUGAUGGAAACGCAGAAUAGACCAACAAGUGGCUGCACCUAUUAUCAAGAUCUACUCAAAUUCGAACCCACAAUAGAUUGGAUGCAGUUGUGACUAGAUGGUGACAAGAACUCAAAACUCUAAAGGACUAAACUAAAACCAGCACUGGACACGACCGAAGCAAACACUCAUUCAACCAGCCCUAACUAAGUAGUACUAGCCACGGCACAAAGGAUUUUAUAGGAUUAUGGAAAACAAAUCUGCUAUAUUUUUUUGUCUUUUUUUGGACUAUAGGAAAAACAAACACGAAGAAUUGGAAAUCUCUCACCGAUAAACCUUGCUCUGAUUACCAACUGAUGUGAACCCACUAGGGUUUUCGCCUGAUCUUUCGAUGAGAGGCGCUGGAUAACUCGAUUAGUAAAUGGAGAUGACGUUCACGGCCCGACUACAGCCUUCUAAGGCCGCGCCUUAGCAACCGAUACACCGCCUCCAAUGGCUGUCACGAUCUUGUGGAGCGCAACACCCGGCCACUAGGGCACUCGUCCUGCAAGCAAUCGAAGAACCAGCAAGAACAAGUAGAACAAGUACUAAAUUACUAGAUGUAAAUGAAGGUUUCAAACUCAAUCUCUAAUGAAGUGGGGUUUCGAAAACAAGAAGACGGGCGGCUGGAUCAGCACGCGCGUUUACAAGCAAGUAGCGAAGGCUAAACUUUAUCUAAUCAAAACCCAGUUGUUCAUGGCGGCUCUAAAUGUAAAUAAAUAGAGGGGAGGACAACCAAAGGGGUACUAGAGUCGUCCUCCAACCCUAGGACGCGUCCCUAAUGGACUCAACUUGAUACAUGGGCCAUUGGUCCAAAAUAGGGUGACGCAGCACCAAAACAGAAAAAGGUGUGGCACAAAAACAAGGACUGCGCCCGACUCAUAAGCUGCAUAGAUAUGUGGUUGGACCCAUUGCAUUGGAAAGUAGACUUCAUGAGCUUUCCAUCAAGUAUAGGAAUGUCCCAGUUGGAGUCCAUAUGACGCCGUGGUGAUCCAUACAAGUUAGAGUUAUUUUCCAGUCCGAAUCCAACUCCCAAAACGUGUUGGGUUUGGACUCUUUGUGUCCUUGCUUUAGAAGCGACGUGGUAACUUGAUAGAGGAUGUUGUGGAGGCUUGGACCUGAUCUCCAAUCACCUUUGUUAAGUUAUCACUCUUCCCAUAUGCAAUCAGCCCUUGAAGUUGGUGUUGCCUCAAAUUCCGAAUGCAGUUGAACCUUCCCUUGCUGAUCUUGUCCAUUAUUCCUGAGCAACACGAAAGUGCACGUGUCUCCAUUGUCUAAAUAUGAUUGAC